rnacentral:rRNA from 1 species
UACGGGGGGGGCUAGCGUUGUUCGGAAUUACUGGGCGUAAAGGGCGCGUAGGCGGUCUAUUAAGUUGGAUGUGAAAACUCUGGGCUUAACCCAGAGCCUGCAUUCAAAACUGAUAGGCUGGAGUUCUGGAGGGGAUAGCGGAAUUCCUGGUGUAGCGGUGAAAUGCGUAGAUAUCAGGAGGAACACCGGUGGCGAAGGCGGCUAUCUGGACAGAAACUGACGCUGAGGCGCGAAAGCUAGGGGAGCGAACAGG